UACGGAGGGUGCCAGCGUUGUCCGGAUUCAUUGGGCUUAAAGGGUGCGUAGGUGGCCUUAUAAGUCAGUGGUGAAAUCUCUGGGCUUAACCCAGAAAUUGCCAUUGAUACUGUAGGGCUUGAGUAUAGUUGACGUUGGCGGAAUAUGACAUGUAGUGGUGAAAUACAUAGAGAUGUCAUAGAACACCGAUUGCGAAGGCAGCUGACGAAACUAUAACUGACACUGAGGCUCGAAAGUGCGGGGAUCAAACAGG
rnacentral:rRNA from 1 species